UGGGGAAUAUUGCACAAUGGGCGCAAGCCUGAUGCAGCCAUGCCGCGUGUGUGAAGAAGGCCUUCGGGUUGUAAAGCACUUUCAGCGAGGAGGAAGGUGGUGAGCUUAAUACGCUCAUCAAUUGACGUUACUCGCAGAAGAAGCACCGGCUAACUCCGUGCCAGCAGCCGCGGUAAUACGGAGGGUGCAAGCGUUAAUCGGAAUUACUGGGCGUAAAGCGCACGCAGGCGGUUUGUUAAGUCAGAUGUGAAAUCCCCGGGCUCAACCUGGGAACUGCAUUUGAAACUGGCAAGCUAGAGUCUCGUAGAGGGGGGUAGAAUUCCAGGUGUAGCGGUGAAAUGCGUAGAGAUCUGGAGGAAUACCGGUGGCGAACGGCGGCCCCCUGGACGAAGACUGACGCUCAGGUGCGAAAAGCGUGGGGAGCAAAACAGGAUUAGAUACCCUGGUAGUCCACGUGUAAACGAUGUC
rnacentral:rRNA from 1 species